GAUGAACGCUGGCGGCGUGCCUAAUACAUGCAAGUCGAGCGAACAGACGAGGAGCUUGCUCCUCUGACGUUAGCGGCGGACGGGUGAGUAACACGUGGAUAACCUACCUAUAAGACUGGGAUAACUUCGGGAAACCGGAGCUAAUACCGGAUAAUAUAUUGAACCGCAUGGUUCAAUAGUGAAAGAGGGUUUUGCUGUCACUUAUAGAUGGAUCCGCGCCGCAUUAGCUAGUUGGUAAGGUAACGGCUUACCAAGGCAACGAUGCGUAGCCGACCUGAGAGGGUGAUCGGCCACACUGGAACUGAGACACGGUCCAGACUCCUACGGGAGGCAGCAGUAGGGAAUCUUCCGCAAUGGGCGAAAGCCUGACGGAGCAACGCCGCGUGAGUGAUGAAGGUCUUCGGAUCGUAAAACUCUGUUAUUAGGGAAGAACAAAUGUGUAAGUAACUAUGCACGUCUUGACGGUACCUAAUCAGAAAGCCACGGCUAACUACGUG
rnacentral:rRNA from 1 species